rnacentral:tRNA from 1 species
GGAGGAGUACCGAAGCGGCCAUACCGGGCUGGUCUCGAAAACCAAGCGUGCGUUUAUUCGUACACGUGGGUUCGAAUCCCACCUCCUCCG